rnacentral:rRNA from 1 species
UACGUAGGGUGCAAGCGUUGUCCGGAAUUAUUGGGCGUAAAGGCGCGUAGGCGGCCUGGCAAGUGGAAGGUGAAAUCCCUCGGCUUAACCGAGGAACUGCCUCCCAAACUGCUUGGCUUGAGACCGGGAGAGGUGAGUGGAAUUCCCAGUGUAGCGGUGAAAUGCGUAGAUAUUGGGAGGAACACCAGUGGCGAAGGCGGCUCACUGGACCGGUACUGACGCUGAUGCGCGAAAGCGUGGGGAGCAAACAGG